AUGAACGCUGGCGGCGUGCCUAAUCCAUGCAAGUCGAGCGAAUAGACGAGGAGCUUGCUCCUCUGGCGUUAGCGGCGGACGGGUGAGUAACACGUGGAUAACCUACCUAUAAGACUGGGAUAACUUCGGGAAACCGGAGCUAAUACCGGAUAAUAUAUUGAACCGCAUGGUUCAAUAGUGAAAGACGGUUUUGCUGUCACUUAUAGAUGGAUCCGCGCCGCAUUAGCUAGGUGGUAAGGUAACGGCUUACCAAGGCAACGAUGCGAAGCCGACCUGAGAGGGUGAUCGGCCACACUGGAACUGAGACACGGUCCAGACUCGUACGGGAGGCAGCAGUAGGGAAUCUUCCGCAAUGGGCGAAAGCCUGACGGAGCAACGCCGCGUGAGUGAUGAAGGUCUUCGGAUCGUAAAACUCUGUUAUUAGGGAAGAACAAAUGUGUAAGUAACUAUGCACGUCUUGACGGUACCUAAUCAGAAAGCCACGGCUAACUACGUG
rnacentral:rRNA from 1 species